rnacentral:rRNA from 1 species
AAAUUGAAGAGUUUGAUCAUGGCUCAGAUUGAACGCUGGCGGCAGGCCUAACACAUGCAAGUCGAACGGUAACAGGAAUAAGCUUGCUUAUUUGCUGACGAGUGGCGGACGGGUGAGUAAUGUCUGGGAAACUGCCUGAUGGAGGGGGAUAACUACUGGAAACGGUAGCUAAUACCGCAUAACGUCGCAAGACCAAAGAGGGGGACCUUCGGGCCUCUUGCCAUCGGAUGUGCCCAGAUGGGAUUAGCUAGUAGGUGGGGUAACGGCUCACCUAGGCGACGAUCCCUAGCUGGUCUGAGAGGAUGACCAGCCACACUGGAACUGAGACACGGUCCAGACUCCUACGGGAGGCAGCAGUGGGGAAUAUUGCAC